ensembl:lncRNA
CCGGGGGUACUUCUCAAGGUUUCUCUAAUCUAAGGGGAAAGGAACUAUCGGCUGGGUAGUGAUACAGUGUUGAGAACUCUGGAGAAAGAUACCACUCACCUACUGUUCAUGUGCAUAGGAUAUGUAUGGUUUGUGAGAAAGUAUGUGCGUAAGGAAGGAGCAAGAUAUAAAAGGGAUGCAUUUGUAUAAUGGACUUAGUACACUCGUGAAUAAACCUUUUGACUAUUGUAAACUGGAACUCGUGUCUGUUUCAUUCAACCAGAAUUUUACAAACUCUGGGUUGCAGACUGUGUAGAUUAAUUGAAGUUUAUGAACAUUGAUAACAAAAUUCUCAUAACAAUUUGGUCCUUUGAGCCGGAUUCCAAUACCAGUCUCUGUCGUACGGAGGUAACACGUCGAAAACCGUGCACGGGUGGGUCGCUGACCCAUAAAUUAAAGACCUGUCCUCUGACAUUGGGGUUCCAUAACAGGCCGGUAUAAAUCUAAGGUCAACAGAGACCGUGACGGAAUCCCACCGACAUUGCUUUUCCCAGCCUAUGAGACCAGAUUGUGUCCAACAGGUGAAUUACAGGAGAAGGUGAUUCACUCAAUCAUACCAGGAGACUGGGUGUGGAUCCAGUCCCUGAGGAGAAUAGUCUGGAAGCAGCCCUAUUGGAAAGGCCCAUACCAGGUUCUGUUAAACCACCGCCUUUGCCAUUUGAAUAGCUGAGAGUCACUUGGGUCCCCGUUACCCACUGCAAGAAGGUGUGUACACAUAUGAGCACGGCUGAUCACACACAGAGUUAGGAGAAGAACCGAGUACCAACAGGGUCCGGGGGUUACCUCCUUAACGAAUAUUUCCUAUCCUGACCGUUCAUCACUGUGGGUGCUCCUAAAAAUGUGAGUAUGGGGUGGUACCUAGCAGACUGACUAAGGGCAGGAGAGGGUUGGUGGUUUUUGGGAAGAGUAGGGACUCUGACGUGCAUCAUAGUCUUGGUAAUCUUUCUGAUACAUCCAGAUCUACCACCUUUAGGUACUAAUUAUAUGACGCCGUUGUCAUUGAUAAGAAGUAAUAGAUAUACUAUUGUCACUAUCGUUGUAUGGAGGGGACCAAAGCGCAGCGUGGUUAGAAUACAUUCUUCUUUAUUGAAUGAAGAACACAGAAGACUUAAACAAAAAGAUUACAACGACCAUGACCGCUAUAUAAACACUGUGCUAACAUGCAACAUAACAUAGACAAUAACCCACGAAAUACCCAAAGAAGAUGGCUGCCUAAAUAUGGUUCCCAAUCAGAGACAACGAUAAACACCUGACUCUAAUUGAGAACCAAUCUAGGCAACCAUAGACCUACAUAAACACCUUAGAUGGAAACAACCCCAUAAAUCUACAAAAACCCCUAGACAGUACAAACACCCUAGAUGAGACAAAAACACACAUCACCCUUGUCACACCCUGACCUAAACAAAAUAAUAAAGAAAACAAAGAAUACUAAGGUCAGGGCGUGACAACUAUACUAUAUACUCACUGAUGAGUGACUUACAGAAUAAGGAGUCAAAGAAGAUCAAGAUGUAGGAUUUAAGGUAAACAUUAAACAAUUCCCUAGGAAAGCAAAUAACUUUACAGGGACUGGGUUGGCCGGAUUGAAGUUCUCGGACAACCCACCUCGGUUCACUUUAACUCCUGAUGAGUACCAGUGUUAUAGAUACAAGAAUGGCACCAAUAACUUAGAUGAUUCUUAUGGCUGAAAGGUAAUCGUUAAUGUGACUGACUUAGGCUUGGAAGUACAGGAGAAAAGGACGCAUACGACAAACUACCAAAAAGGGUGGUUAGGAACUUGCGCCCCAGGGUUAUUGCUCCAACCAGUUCGAGUUAGUCAUCAGAGGCCAGUUAUAGGAGGCUAAAGUAGGCACAGGAGGAGUUUUGACCAGGAUGGGAGUCUAGAUGGAUGCUGAUGAAUCAAAUAGGUGAAGGCUUUGCAACUACAUUAUUUUGGUGGUUGACAAUAAAUAAAAAUGUGGAUUGGAUUAGUGACAUUUAUUAUAAUCAACAGAGAUUCGUGAAUGAUUCUGGGGAUGCAGUAAAGGGGUUCUCUGACCAAUUAUCCGCCACCUCCCUCAUGACCUGGUAAAAUAGACUGACUCUCGAUAUGUUAUUGGCAGAAAAGGGCGGGGUAUGUAGAAUGAUUGAGGUUCAUUGCUGUACGUUUAUUUUUUAAAUAACACCGCUGCAGACGGAUCAGUGACCAAGGCCCUGGCUGGUUUAACCACAGCUCACGAAUGAGCAGAGAACUCUGGGGUGGAUAAUUCUCAAACAAAUUGGUUUGACAGUAUGUUUGGGAAAUGGAUAAAUGUCAAUCACUGUGUUGUGGGCAACCUUCACCUGUAUGACUGUGUUGAUAUCCUGUGGCUGUUUGAUUCUGUGUGUGAGGUCUCAUUUCCAGAUCUCUGGAGAGGUCAAUGACGCAACAGAUAGUGAGAUACGGACCGAUUCCGAGCUCCGUCCAGUGGGAUGAUGAAUACAGGCUUCCAGGCCUAGGAGAUGGCUAUGCUCCUCUUUUAACUACGAGGAGCCAAUGUUAGAUGAGACUAUUUUAGCUGUUUAAGCAGAGACUGUUACUUUCAUGAAGAUUAUGAUGAUAAAUCCUAAACCGGAAGAGUUAUAAUUGGAUAUAAGCUUAGAACAGUCAUUGAUGAGUAAUCGAAUGUAAAUACAUGUAUUGGUUUGGUUUAUUCUUGUAACAUUUAUGUUUCCAUAUACUGUUUGAAAAAUCAGUGUGUCUUAUUUAGUCAUUAAGGGUGGAUUGAUAAAAUAGUUUAUACGAUUAAAAGAUCAUGAUUAAAUAAUUCUACCCGGAAUCUUAACCAUUAGGGAUUAGAGCUUAUGUAGCAUGUAUAAGGAGUAAUUAAAAAUAUUAAACAUCAGUCCAACUAGGUUAGACUGGGAAAGAGAGGAAUGUGUGUGCCUCCGUAAACACAAAGAACAAUUCAACUGUGUUUGAACCGAUCUGGCUAGAACUCUGAGAAACUUAUGAUAGGACCGGGGGUACUUCUCAAGGUUUCUCUAAUCUAAGGGGAAAGGAACUAUCGGCUGGGUAGUGAUACAGUGUUGAGAACUCUGGAGAAAGAUACCACUCACCUACUGUUCAUGUGCAUAGGAUAUGUAUGGUUUGUGAGAAAGUAUGUGCGUAAGGAAGGAGCAAGAUAUAAAAGGGAUGUAUUUGUAUAAUGGAUUCACUCUCGUGAAUAAACCUUUUGACUAUUGUAAGCUGGAACUCGUGUCUGUUUCAGAAUCUUACAAACUCUGGGUUGCAGAC